rnacentral:rRNA from 1 species
AUUGAACGCUGGCGGCAGGCCUAACACAUGCAAGUCGAACGGUAACAGGAAGAAGCUUGCUUCUUUGCUGACGAGUGGCGGACGGGUGAGUAAUGUCUGGGAAACUGCCUGAUGGAGGGGGAUAACUACUGGAAACGGUAGCUAAUACCGCAUAACGUCGCAAGCCCAAAAAGGGGGACCUUCGGGCCUCUUGCCAUCGGAUGUGCCCAGAUGGGAUUAGCUGGUAGGUGGGGUAACGGCUCACCUAGGCGACGAUCCCUAGCUGGUCUGAGAGGAUGACCAGCCACACUGGAACUGAGACACGGUCCAGACUCCUACGGGAGGCAGCAGUGGGGAAUAUUGCACAAUGGGCGCAAGCCUGAUGCAGCCAUGCGGCGUGUAUGAAGAAGGCCUUCGGGUUGUAAAGUACGUUUAGGGGGGAGGAAGGGAGUAAAGUUAAUACCUUUGCUCAUUGACGUUACCCGCAGAAGAAGCACCGGCUAACUACGUG